GGGGAAUAUUGCACAAUGGGGGAAACCCUGAUGCAGCGACGCCGCGUGGAGGAAGAAGGUCUUCGGAUUGUAAACUCCUGUUGUUGGGGAAGAUAAUGACGGUACCCAACAAGGAAGUGACGGCUAACUACGUGCCAGCAGCCGCGGUAAAACGUAGGUCACAAGCGUUGUCCGGAAUUACUGGGUGUAAAGGGAGCGCAGGCGGGAAGACAAGUUGGAAGUGAAAUCUAUGGGCUCAACCCAUAAACUGCUUUCAAAACUGUUUUUCUUGAGUAGUGCAGAGGUAGGCGGAAUUCCCGGUGUAGCGGUGGAAUGCGUAGAUAUCGGGAGGAACACCAGUGGCGAAGGCGGCCUACUGGGCACCAACUGACGCUGAGGCUCGAAAGUGUGGGUAGCAAACAGGAUUAGAUACCCUGGUAGUCCACACCGUAAACGAUGAUUACUGGGUGUUGGAGGAUUGACCCCUUCAGUGCCGCAGUUAACACAAUAAGUAAUCCACCUGGGGAGUACGACCGCAAGGUUGAAACUCAAAGGAAUUGACGGGGACCCGCACAAGCGGUGGAGCAUGUGGUUUAAUUCGACGCAACGCGAAGAACCUUACCAAGUCUUGACAUCCCUUGACAGGCAUAGAAAUAUGUUUUCUCUUCGGAGCAAGGAGACAGGUGGUGCAUGGUUGUCGUCAGCUCGUGUCGUGAGAUGUUGGGUUAAGUCCCGCAACGAGCGCAACCCUUAUGGCCAGUUACUACGUAAGAGGACUCUGGCCAGACUGCCGUUGACAAAACGGAGGAAGGUGGGGAUGACGUCAAAUCAUCAUGCCCUUUAUGACUUGGGCUACACACGUACUACAAUGGCGUUAAACAAAGAGAAGCAAGACCGCGAGGUGGAGCAAAACUCAGAAACAACGUCCCAGUUCGGACUGCAGGCUGCAACUCGCCUGCACGAAGUCGGAAUUGCUAGUAAUCGUGGAUCAGCAUGCCACGGUGAAUACGUUCCCG
rnacentral:rRNA from 1 species